CCCAGAAAAUAAUGUGAUGCUCCCCUGGGCAGUAAGAGAUGCUUAUCUGAACCCUGUCUGGUUGUGGAGAGAGCCAACAACAAGGUGCCCAGCUUCCUGAGUGAGGAAGGAUACUCCUCCAGCUUGUCUCUCUGAUACUGCGACCUGGAGACAAGUCAUUUCUCUAAUGAGGCUGUGCAAACAUCAUGUGUUCCUACGUGGAAAGAAGUGGAGAUGGCCAGGAGCAACAGGGCACACAAGUAACCCAGAGACAAUGAUUCAGUAAGGCUGAUGGGAUUUUUCCCCCUGAUAUUACUGUUGCACAAGCAGAAGUACCAACAGCUCCAUGGAAGGCAAAAUAUACCUACCUAUAGAUGAAUGGAGUGAUCUUGAAAUGCCAGGAAUAGAGUACGAUGCAUCUGGUGUUCAUUGACUUAGAAGAACCACUUCUUGGCUUGAGGACGUUGUUGAACCACUACGUUAGAUCAGAUUUCAUCACAGCCGCUAAGAAACGUUGACUUCAGCUCUUCAGUUUACCAUAACAUGGAUGACGCAUCAGAUGAUUACAGCCAAAGGUCAGCUCACAUACUUGAUGCUUCUCUUAAUCUGAGCCACAUCUUUUGAUCUUUAUCUCAUAUAAUGCAAAUAUGGCAUGAAGAUACAGAGGGGGGAUUGGAAUCAAUAGCUUAGUGCCAAAAACGUGGAUUUUAGAGAAGUCUGAAUCCUCGUGGUUGUAAUGUAUCCAGUCAGCUUCAGCUGGGUGUACAUUUCUUCACAGCAGCUUAAAACAUCAAAGAACACCAGGAAAAGGGGUAGACACUUGUAAAUGCAGUGCUGGGAGUUUGCAAGAUAAAAGUAAAACCUAAGUCUCCAGGUCAAUUUCUGGAAAUGUGGGAGAUUACAUUUUAAGAUAUAUAAGCAUGACUUUGAUAGAAGAGUACCUUUUAAAAAGGUGCUUUGUAUAAUAAAAAGAUAUUACAAAUUAAUGAAGACACCCCCCCUAAAACCGACAGAACAACAGCAAUUUGAAACACUCCUAGUGCUUUCAACAUGAGAUGGGAAUUUGUACUCCUAACCUCCCACAUUGCAUCUGUGUCUUGAAUAGCUUUUCUGUUUUCUCUUUAACUGAGCUAAUGACAGAUCUGAGGAACUGUCAACACUGCAACCAAAAAAGCAUGAAGCAGCAGGGACGUCAUUCACAGCAGAGAUGGGAGUCGUAGCAAAUGUGGUUUUAGAGGAAACCCAGCCUAGCAAGUGGAUGACGUCUUAGUAGAAAGCAGGUGAAAAGAGAAUAUUUCCCUGCCAAAGACUGAACCAUUGCUAAGAAGUCAUGUGUCUGAACAGGCAUCCCUGUCUACUCUGUGUUUCUAGGCCAUCAGAUGUCCCAUCGGCACUGACACCUGCCAGUUUUGCUGUGUUGCUUGUAUCACAGGGAUGCAGCUGCGGGGCCGUAGCUGGAGGCUGUGCCCGCACCAGGCCACCAUGGGGACGCAGCCCAGACGUCAGCAUGGAUCCCUGCGUCCCCACGCCGAGAGGCCACCGCCACAGUGGAGAGGAAGAUCUGGCGUGACUGCCCUUCUGCUUUUA